CCAUACACCAUAGACUCAAGAGAAUUGGGCAUCCCGUCCGCUCUGCCAUACACAAGCUUGAGAUCGGUGGAUUAGUAGUUGGGUGGGUGACCACCAGCGAAUACCCACUGUUGUAUGUU
rnacentral:rRNA from 1 species